rnacentral:rRNA from 1 species
UACGAAGGGGGCUAGCGUUGCUCGGAAUCACUGGGCGUAAAGGGCGCGUAGGCGGCGUUUUAAGUCGGGGGUGAAAGCCUGUGGCUCAACCACAGAAUGGCCUUCGAUACUGGGACGCUUGAGUAGUGGUAGAGGUUGGUGGAACUGCGAGUGUAGGAGGUGAAAUUCGUAGAUAUUCGCAAGAACACCGGUGGCGAAGGCGGCCAACUGGACCAUUACUGACGCUGAGGCGCGAAAGCGUGGGAGCAAACAGG